rnacentral:rRNA from 1 species
GAUGAACGCUGGCGGCGUGCCUAAUACAUGCAAGUCGAGCGAAUGGAUUAAGAGCUUGCUCUUAUGAAGUUAGCGGCGGACGGGUGAGUAACACGUGGGUAACCUGCCCAUAAGACUGGGAUAACUCCGGGAAACCGGGGCUAAUACCGGAUAACAUUUUGAACCGCAUGGUUCGAAAUUGAAAGGCGGCUUCGGCUGUCACUUAUGGGUGGACCCGCGUCGCAUUAGCUAGUUGGUGAGGUAACGGCGCACCAAGGCAACGAUGCGUAGCCGCCCUGAAAGGGUGACCAGCACCACUGGGACAGAGACCCGGCCCAGACUCCUACGGGAGGCAGCAGUAUGGAAUCUUACGCAAUGGACGAAAGUCUGACGGAGCAACGCGGCGUGAGUGAUGAAGGCUUUCGGGUCGUAAAACUCUGUUGUUAGGGAAGAACAAGUGCUAGUUGAAUAAGCUGGCACCUUGACGGUACCUAACCAGAAAGCCACGGCUAACUACGUGCCAGCCGCCGCCGUAA